rnacentral:tRNA from 1 species
GCCGGGGUGGCGAAACUGGCAGACGCGUAUGACUCAAAAUCAUAUGUUCGUAAGAACGUGAGGGUUCGACUCCCUCCCCCGGCA